UACAGAGGUCUCAAGCGUUGUUCGGAUUCAUUGGGCGUAAAGGGCGCGUAGGCGGCGGGGUAAGUCGGGUGUGAAAUCUCAGAGCUCAACUCUGAAACUGCACUCGAUACUGCUUUGCUAGAGGACUGGAGAGGAGAUUGGAAUUCACGGUGUAGCAGUGAAAUGCGUAGAGAUCGUGAGGAAGACCAGUGGCGAAGGCGGAUCUCUGGACAGUUCCUGACGCUGAGGCGCGAAGGCCAGGGGAGCAAACGGG
rnacentral:rRNA from 1 species